GCACUGCUGACGAGUCCCAUAAUAGGACGAAACGGCCGUCCAGUGC
rfam:Schistosoma mattheei strain Denwood, Zambia genome assembly, scaffold: SMTD_scaffold0003422